UACGUAGGCAGCGAGCGUUACUCGGAAUUACUGGGCGUAAAGCGUGCGUAGGUGGUUGUUUAAGUCUGUUGUGAAAGCCCUGGGCUCAACCUGGGAACUGUAGUGGAAACUGGACAACUAGAGUGUGGUAGAGGGUAGCGGAAUUCCCGGUGUAGCAGUGAAAUGCGUAGAGAUCGGGAGGAACAUCCAUGGCGAAGGCAGCUACCUGGACCAACACUGACACUGAGGCACGAAAGCGUGGGGAGCAAACAGG
rnacentral:rRNA from 1 species